GGCUGGUGAAGAUCACUCUGCCUGUAGGAGUCUCCUCCUGCUUCCCAACAUGCAAGUCACCCUUUGUUCCGUCUUCACCAUGUGGAUGGACUGCUAUCCUGCUGAUUUCUGAGAGCCCCAGAACCGACACCCAGUGAAAGAACUUACCAACUAUGCCAUGCUCCACAUGCGCUCCUCGGACCUGCUCCUCCACCUCCACAUUCUUCUGGAUGAGCUGGAGGAGACUGGGAAGAAUGAGACCAAGACACAGAGGAAGAAGUCCCUGUGUGGUCACCUCAGAGCAUGCUUUGGCCACCAUAGAGCAGCUUCUCCUGACCUGCCAAGAAAGAAGCCCUCGGUGAUGGUCAGGGAUGGUGAUGGAUGGAGAUCUGGAGCCAUCACUGGACUCCACAAAGCAUGUGCAUGUAGAGGGGUUGCAUGCAUUUGCAGUGAGGCCCCAACGGGUUGUGAGUCCUG